rnacentral:lncRNA from 1 species
AGGCCCGGAAACGGAUCGCGUUGGGUGAAGGUGACGGCGUCGAGCGUGAGUGACCCUCUGUGUAGAUUAAACCUGCGCUCCCUGUUUCCCAUUUCCACAGCCGAUGUCCAGGGUCGAUACGGCCCUUAAAAUCCCCGUACACUCCACCCCAGCAUUGACUUCCAAAGACUCCUGGCACAUGAGGAAGAAACCCAGAAGAGGAGAGCAAAGGAGUCAGGAAUGGCUUUUACUCAGUUGACAUUCAGGGACGUGGCCAUCGAAUUCUCUCAAGAUGAGUGGAAAUGCCUGAACUCUACACAGAGGACUUUAUACAGGGAUGUGAUGUUGGAGAACUACAGGAACCUGGUCUCCCUGGGUGAGGAUAAUUUUCUUCCAGAAGUCAAAAUCUGCCCUUGGUAUCUUUCCAUUUUCCCUUGUGUGCCUCUUGGGAGCCCCUGCAUUACCUGACUGAGUUUGAGGCCUUGUUGACUCUGAAAUGAAAAGCUCCAUAAUGUGAACUCUGGAGUUUAACCAUCCCCUUUUUCCAGAUUUUCUGACCCCUUCAUGAUACAACAGUGGUGGUU